CAUGUACUACCUCCGUCCCAAAAUUCUUGUCUUAGAUUUAUCUAGAUACGGAUGUAUUUAACACUAAAACAUGAAUAGAUACAUCACUAAAACAUGAAUAGAUACAUCCGUAUGUAGACAAAUCUAAGACAAAAAUUUUGGGACGGAGGGAGUAUCGU
rfam:Triticum aestivum genome assembly, contig: Triticum_aestivum_CS42_TGACv1_scaffold_049725_1BS